UUCCUGGUGGUCUAGUGGUUAGGACUCGGCACUUUCACUGCUGCGGGCCGGGUUCAAUCCCUGGUCUGGAAA
rnacentral:tRNA from 1 species